rnacentral:misc_RNA from 1 species
UUUCCGUAGGUGAACCUGCGGAAGGAUCAUUCAUAAUAAAGUGUUUUAUGGCACUUUUUAAAAAUCCAUAUCCACCUUGUGUGCAAUGUUAGAUCUCGUCAAUCUUGGCGAGAUUUUUAUUCAUCAACUCAUUCUUUAACUAAUUUGUCUGAAAAAUAUUAUGAAUACUUAAUUCAAAAUACAACUUUCAACAACGGAUCUCUUGGCUCUC